rnacentral:rRNA from 1 species
UACGUAGGGUGCAAGCGUUAAUCGGAAUUACUGGGCGUAAAGCGUGCGCAGGCGGUUGUGUAAGACAGAUGUGAAAUCCCCGGGCUCAACCUGGGAACUGCAUUUGUGACUGCACAGCUGGAGUGCGGCAGAGGGGGAUGGAAUUCCGCGUGUAGCAGUGAAAUGCGUAGAUAUGCGGAGGAACACCGAUGGCGAAGGCAAUCCCCCUGGGCCUGCACUGACCGCUCAUGCACGAAAGCGUGGGGAGCAAACAGG